CUAUUGACGAGGGAAGCAAUUAAAAGGGAAUCAGGUGAGAAUCCUGAACAGUCCCGCUGCUGUAAGUUCCACUAUAAGUUAAAGACACAACUACUCAACUCACGCCACUGGUUCAUUGAACCGGGAAGGCAGUCGAUAACCGGAACAAGUCAGAAGACCUGCCAUACUACU
rnacentral:ncRNA from 1 species